ACAUGGGUAGGUGUUCUGGAGGUAGAAUUGCAGAAUUGGACGGUUUCCAUGCUCAGACAGGAAGUUGCAAAGCGAUCAAACAUGGGUACUCACUCAAUCAAUUUAAUAUGCGCUGGCAAAGUCUUGAAAGAUGGUGAUGGCAGUGAAAAGCUUUGUCAAUUGGGUAUCAAAAACAACUCUAAGAUUCUUGUUACUCGAGUCUUUUUAGAGGAGGGUAACUCGUUGAAAGAGGAAUUAAUGGCCGAUGAAGAACGAAACCGUAGACUCGCUCGAGUCAAAGCAGCUGUCACUGCAUUGUCCAAAAGACAUGCAGAUGGUUCGUUGCCAAUUGAGGAUUUCAAUUUAGAACUUGAAGAUCAAAGUGGGCAGAAAUUGCACUUUUCUGAGACUGAUCAACAAGCAAUAAUGAUGGGUCUGAUGCUUCAUGCAAAUGGAAAGGGGCUAAUUAGAAGGCAAAUGUUUAAAGAUGCGUUAGAAGUGCUCACUAUGGGAGAGGAAGCUUUCUCUUUAUGCAAUCCCAAGUCUAUUGAACUUGUUGACAAUAUCCCAAUACUGCAAAUAGACAUGGUGUGGUGCUAUUUCAUGCUCCGUGACAUUGCCUGGCUCUCAGUGGCGGGGGUACGCCUUGAAAAGGCUAGAGAAGGACUUGAACAUGCUCAUGGCAAGGAUUCUUCCCGUUUUAGACUCCUUCAAGCAGGUCGCUCUUCAGAGCUUGCUCUAUAUUUGAGACUAGAGCUGUUGGAAGGAGUUGUGGCAUAUCAUAGUGGCCAGUUUGAUAAAUGUAGGAGGUUUUUGACCUCUGCACAAGCAAGAUUCUUCCAGUUACAAGUGUCAGAUGAAGCCUUAUCAACUGUUAUGAGCAUGGGCUUUAAGGAACAAGAUGCAAAGAAGGCACUGAGAAUGAGCAAUCAGGAUGUUGAAAGUGCCAUUAAUUUUCUUGUUGAGGAGAAAGAUAAGAAAGGAAAGAAACGGGAGGAUGACAUUCGUCGAAGAAAUGAAAUUAGGGAGCAACAACGUUAUGGAGUGACACCCUUAAGGAAAGCUGUGGAUCUCCAGAGAUUGAAAGAGUUGAUCUCUGUUGGGUUUGAUAAAGAGCUUGCUGCUGAAGCUCUACGAAGAAAUGAAAAUGACACUCAGAAGGCAUUAGAUGACUUGACAAAUCCAGAAACUAAUACAGCCAUCCAGCGCGAUAUUGAAUCAAAGAAAAGAAAAAGACAACGACAAAAAGAUGAGGCUACAAUUGAGCAGCUUGUAUCCAUGGGUUUUGAAAGAUCAAGAGUGGUUGAAGCUGUUCAAGCUGGUGGCUCGAUGGAUCAAGCAAUGCAACAGUUGCUCACACAAUCAAGUUCUAACCCAACAGAUCCUGCUAACAAUACAAUUUCUCCUGGGUUAAUACCUACCAACAAUGAGGGUAUGGGCGAAGAUCAUAUGAGCAAUGAUAGUGAUGUUGGAGGUCCAUCUACCAGCAAAAUUGAACAGAGGGAUGCAGAGAUGGAAGAUGAAAUCGCAGAUGAAAUAGCAAAAGGAGAUGCCUUGACUGACUAUGACAUUGAAGUAACAAAAGAAGGCGAGGCCAUAAAUGAGUAUUUAGCAUUGCUGGAUUCUGUUGGCAGUAGUGAGAAAGCUUCUUCGCAGUGAGAAGGAACUGGCUAAAACAAUGAUGCAAAAUGCAACUCUUGUGAAUAGAGGUCAAUACCUAUAAUCUCUAGCUUGUGGUUUAGAAUUCACGAGUUGAAAGUAAUACAAGUAGCAAAGCUCUUACCAUCAUUACAGAACCAAAAGCAAUUAAAUGCUUAUUGAGAAAUCAAAAUGGUAGUGCAUGUCCUAACCUUUCAUAUUCUGUUUUCCAACUUUUAGAGUUUGGAUGUGGUUAUUUCAUGGUUUGGAAAAGCUCAACUUAAUGCUGUGAGGUUCAGAAUAUUACACCCACCAAAUCAAAUGAUGCCUGGAGGAAGUUUUGCUCUUAAUAAAUUUCUUUGUUCUCCAACAAGAAGGCUGCAACCAUUUUCUUGCACUGUCAAUGACUUCGGCAGAGGAAGAUUUCUUGCACAUGGAGAGUUGGAUGAGUCGUAUCUCUUGUUCUGCUCAUUUCCCCUUAAAUUAUGGUAUAUGAAUAUGUAUUUAAGCCACUAGGGUCUUUGUCAUACAAAGUUGUUUAGCUUGAAUCUUGAUGAUGAUUUUACUUGGUAGUGCAUACUGAUUGGGUUUAUCAGACUUGUUUGCAUAGCAAUAAAUUUCUUCUAAACUGAAAAUGAGAAUAGAUGUAAGAAGAUCCAUGCUUAAUUUUACAACCAAUGAGCGUUAUCA
rnacentral:misc_RNA from 1 species